GUGAAUGUAGUUCAGUUGGUUAGAACGACGGUUUGUGGUACCGUAGGUCGUGGGUUCGAGCCCCAUCUUUCACCCCA
rnacentral:tRNA from 1 species